rnacentral:rRNA from 1 species
GAUGGACGCUAGCGGCAGGCCUAACACAUGCAAGUCGAGGGGUAACUAGAGUGAUAGCAAUAUUACUUUGGCUAGACCGGCGCACGGGUGCGUAACACGUAUGCAACCUACCUUAUACUGGGGAAUAACUUCGAGAAAUCGGCGCUAAUACCCCAUAACAUUGCGAAGAGGCAUCUCUUUGCAAUUAAAGCUCCGGCGGUAUAAGAUGGGCAUGCGUCCAAUUAGCUAGAUGGUGAGGUAACGGCUCACCAAGGCUACGAUUGGUAGGGGUUUCGAGAGGAUGAUCACCCAAACUGGUACUGAGAGACGGAACAGACUCCUAGUGGAGGCAGAAGUGAGGAAUAUUGCGCCAUGGGCGAAAGGCUGACGCAGCCAUGCCGCGGGCAGGAUGACGGCCCGAUAGGUUGUAAUCUGCUUUUGUACGGGAAUAAACCCUUCUACGUGUAGGAGGCUGAAGGUACCGUAAGAAUAAGCACCGGCUAACUCCGUGCCAGCCGCCGCCGUAAUAC